UGUUGUGUGAUCAUUGGAUGAAUCCACAACAUUAAAACCACUGACAGGUGAAGUGAAUAACAUUGUUUAUAUUGUUACAGUGGCACCUGU